UACAGAGACUGCAAGCGUUAUUCGGAUUCACUGGGCGUAAAGGGUGCGCAGGCGGCCGGGUGUGUUAGGUGUGAAAGCCCGAGGCUUAACCUCGGAAUUGCGCCUAAAACUACUCGGCUAGAGUAUUGGAGAGGGUAACGGAAUUCACGGUGUAGCAGUGAAAUGCGUAGAUAUCGUGAGGAACACCAGAGGCGAAGGCGGUUACCUGGACAAUUACUGACGCUCAGGCACGAAAGCAUGGGGAGCAAAAGGG
rnacentral:rRNA from 1 species